rnacentral:lncRNA from 1 species
GUUGAACAAAUGAGUGCACAGUCAUAGAAUCCACCAUCUAGAUUCUAAAAAUUGUGGACAUCACAUGACACUUACUUCACCACUUAUCCACUCUUCCGUCCGUUUAUCUGUCCAUCUUAUGUGUGGUGCGUUUUGAAGUAAGGUGCAGAGUUCUCAGAGAAUGCAAGUGUUCUGCCGUCUUUGGAGCUUUGUCUGCAAACAGCUCAAAGGAGAUGCACCCCAAAGGCUCACUGUU